GGGAGAGCAGGGCAGCUGGGGCUGGAGGAGCCCUGGGGCCCAGUACCCACACCUGUGCCCAGCGCCGUCAGGGGGGACCGGGGCACGAGGCUCCUUUGCCCAGGAAGGGAAGCGAAGCCUGGAGACACAGGCCCCAUCCUUCCCAAUGGGGACACUUCAGGGAGCGGCUCUCAGGUCCCGAGAAAGACCUUCCUGGCCACAGGAGACACACGGACAUCGGGAACGGACGGAGGAAGGAUGUGCAGUUGCAGCCUUUUCAGCAGACGCCCUGAGAACGGGAGGUCAAGAGUUGGAGCAGACGGUCAGUUCUGACAGGGCCUCAGACCUAAGGCAGGAGCACCCCCUAUGCCAGACCUCCUGGGUCACAGGAUAUGCACGGACAUUGGGAAGGGAUGGAGGAUGGACGGAGGAAGGACGUGCAGUUGCAGCUCUUUCUGCAGAUGCCCUGAGAGAGGAGCAAGAAGGUCCUCGCCAGAUGCUCCUGGACUUGCUUUGGACUUUCCCUUGCUCUUGGACUUGCUCUGGCACCUGUGCUCUUGGACUUCACAGCCUCUAGAACUUUUGGUCUUUGUAUUUACACCAGUCAUCUCACAAUGCGUGUUGAGCUUUGCACCCUUUUACCAAAUGAGGUCACCCCAUGAAUGCUGUCAUGUUAUCACAGAUAUGCGCACAGAAGCUGUAAUGUUAUUAAACAAAGCAAUGUAUCCAGAUCACUCAGAAUCUAUGCCUGUCACGGGGAGCAGGAGAAGAGGGUGAAUGAAGAGCCACAGCAUGGCAGGGGAGCCACUGCAAGGAUGCUGAAACUCGUGUGAACAGAGUUGCUGUAGGCAGGCUGCUAUGGAACCUUUUGGGGAAGCACUGCCUCUUAGGGAUGGCAGUGAAAAUGGGAGAAGAGGGUGGCAUUGCCUCCAGAUGGAAGAUGUAGUGCUUUGCCUUGCUCCUUGGUGCUUGGAGAGGGAAAGGGAUGCUGCUGUAAAGUUCCUGGCUGGACUUUGGCUUGAUAAAGCACGGGCACCUUUGGGAGUAUGAGGGUGGGUGGGUGUGCACAUCUUCCAUGAGGAGCUGUUAGUAUUGGGGCAGACGUUUCAAGUAUGGCAGACAAAGGAUGUUCUGCGUGGGGAAAUGUGGUGACACCCAUUUCACAAGGACAGCUCACAUAGAUUGAGUGCUCAGGAAGGACCAGCACCAUACCCAGUGCCUGAUGUGUAUCAUCUCAAUUAGUCCUUGCCUCAGAUGCAAAAGGAAACCAUCGCCAUCAUCAUCACCACCAUCAUCAUCUUCCUCCUGUGCAGAUGGAAAGGCUGAGGCAUAGAGAGGUGACGGAGUCUGCCCAGGACUGCAAGCCUGCUGGUGGCAGAGCCAGGUUCCAAUGGAAUGAAGGCUGUCAUCCUCAGAUGGCAGGGUAGGCAGGUGGCUAGAGCUCACUUGGGAGAAGGGGAAAGGACACUGACUUUGGCUAGGGAUGGAGCAGAGCUUGGGCUGGCUUUCCAUGCACGGGCAGGGGGCGUGGCUCAUGGCUACGCUCCAGCCCCGGGUGUGGACAUUGAAUCUUCCAGGUCUACCCUAGGCUAUGGGUCUGGACAGCACUGUGAUGGAAAGAAGACACUCUAUGUCCUGCA
rnacentral:lncRNA from 1 species